rnacentral:rRNA from 1 species
GAAAGUAAAAAAGGGCGCAUGGCGGAUGCCUUGGCUCUCGGAGGCGAUGAAGGACGUGAUAAGCUGCGAUAAGCUUUGGGGAGGUGCAAAUGACCUUUGAUCCAGAGAUUUCCGAAUGGGACAACCCAAUAUCUUGAAGAGGUAUUAUCUUACUAUGUAAGAGGCUAACGCAGGGCACUGAAACAUCUUAGUACCUGCAGGAAAAGAAAAUAAACAAUGAUUCCCCCAGUAGUGGCGAGCGAACGGGGAACAGCCCAAACCAUCCAUGUUACGGCAUGGGUGGGGUUGUAGGACUACGCCGUUGCAUGAAGACAUCAGAGAAGAACUUUCUGGAAAGAAAGACCAUAGAGCAUGACAGUUGCGUAUUCGAAUGUUGUCGAAGCAUAGUAGUAUCCUGAGUAGCGCGGAGCACGAGGAAUUCUGCGUGAAUCUGCCGGGACCAUCCGGUAAGGCUAAAUACUCCCGAGAGACCGAUAGCGAACCAGUACCGUGAGGGAAAGGUGAAAAGCACUUCGAACAGAAGAGUGAAAUAGUUCCUGAAACCGUGCGCCUACAAGCGGUCGGAGCUCGUUAAUGAGUGACGGCGUGCCUUUUGCAUAAUGAACCUACGAGAUGCCUUUGCCGGCAAGGUUAAGUGUGACGACACACGUAUCCGAAGCGAAAGCGAGUCUGAAGAGGGCGUAUAGUCGGCAGUGGCAGACGCGAAACCAAGUGAUCUACCCUUGGCCAGGUUGAAGGCUGGGUAACACCAGCUGGAGGACCGCACCAAUAAGCGUUGAAAAGCUUCUGGAUGAGCUGAGGGUAGGGGUGAAAGGCUAAUCAAACUUGGAGAUAGCUCGUACUCCCCGAAAUGCAUUUAGGUGCAGCCUUGCGGGUUACUGAUGUGAGGUAGAGCGACUGAUAAGAUGCGAGGGCUUCACCGCCUAUCAAGUCUUGACAAACUCCGAAUGCGCAUCAGUUCUACCGCAGGAGUGAGGGCAUGGGUGCUAAGGUCCGUGCCCGAGAGGAGAAGAAUCCGGACCACCUGCUAAGGUCCCGAAAUGACAGCUAAGUUAAACUAACGAAGUCUGACUGCUAAGACAGCUAGGAUGUUGGCUUGGAAGCAGCCAUUCAUUUAAAGAGUGCGUAACAGCUCACUAGUCGAGGAGUCGGGCGUGGAUAAUAAUCGGGUAUGAAGUUGUCUACCGAAGCAGUGGGAUCAUUUAUAUGAUCGGUAGGGGAGCAUUCCAGUCGGCGUCGAAGGCGUACCGUGAGGUAUUCUGGAGCGUCUGGAAAAGCAAAUGUAGGUAUAAGUAACGAUAAAGGGGGCGGGAAACCCCCUCGCCGAAAGACUAAGGUUUCCUGAUCAACGCUAAUCGGAUCAGGGUCAGUCGGGUCCUAAGGCUCAGCCGAAGGGCGAUGCCGAUGGCAGAAACGGUUAAUAUUCCGUUACUACCUUCAGGAGUGACGUGGAGACGCAGUAGUGACAGUGCCGCCAUCUGACGGAAUAGAUGGUUGAAGGGUGUAGGAGUCGAUCAUGGCAGGCAAAUCCACCAUGAGAUCCGAACCUGACAGUAUGCCGCGUCCUUCGGGACAAGGCAAUAGUGCGCGUAAGCAUGCUGCCGAGAAAAUCCGCUAAACUUAAUCCUGCAGGUACCCGUACCGCAAACGGACACACGUAGUCGGGAUGAAUAUUCUAAGGCGCUUGAGUGAUUCACGGUUAAGGAACUAGGCAAACUGACCCUGUAACUUCGGGAUAAAGGGUCCCUACCCUUUUAUGGGAGGGCGCAGAGAAUCGGUCCAGGCAACUGUUUAACAAAAACACAGGGCUGUGCCAAAUCGAAAGAUCCAGUAUACAGCCUGACACCUGCCCGGUGCUGGAAGGUUAAGAGGAGAUGUCAUCGAUAAGAGAAGCGUUGAAUUGAAGCCCCAGUAAACGGCGGCCGUAACUAUAACGGUCCUAAGGUAGCGAAAUUCCUUGUCGGG